rnacentral:lncRNA from 1 species
UGUAAGUGAUGUUUUUAGUUUUUUUUUUUUUUUUGUAUCAGCUUUGACAGUGUUUCAAGUGUUGUUUUUUAACUUGUUUUAUGUCAAGAAUAUGAUUGUCGUUGUGUUGGAAGAGUUGUUUAAUAACAUGACAUUUAAAACUAUUUUUUGCACUUGUCGUUGGAAGAAACUAAUAACAUAACGCUUUAAAACACAUAGCAACAAGCAACAAAUUUAACUUAAUGUAAAUGGUUCAAACUUCAAAUGAUCACUCGUAGGUUCUUCUUCCUCUUCUUCUCCUCCAAUAAGAACUGAUCAUCAGCUCUUACAACAAAAAGAUUUAUGCUUUCCAGUUCACUUGAGGCGUUCACCAUCUCCACCACAUCUGUAUCACAACAUAUAUCCUUCCUACUAUGAUCGACAAUUCCAGACGGGGAAUAAAAGAACUUAUUCAUGUUCUCUGGAAAAACACCACCGGUGAUCAUAGUUUCAAGCAUUCUAUAAAUGAAUAUGAAUUCUUCUGUUUAAAAACUAUUAUCAAUCACAUCAAAACACAUGAUCAAACUAAUGUAAUCAGAGGAUUCCACAUAUAAAUAAACCAAACUUACCUGUCCGUCUUCCAGCGGCUCCCGAAUAUACUCUUUCACUUUUCGAUUUCAAACCCACAGGAACCUUCUUGAUUUCAACUUUCUCACCAAACUCAAACUCACCCUCUCUCAAACCCAGUCUCGAAUUCUCACAAGAACCAAACGAAACUCAAAGCCCCUCCCUUUCACGAAUUAGGGUUCAUCAUUCUAAGCUCUCGACACUCCGGGAAUUUUUACGACAGGAAUUAAAGUUGGAAUGGUAAACUACAUGCAUCUAAUUAAACAUCAUGUUGUUUUAUUAACAAAUCGUGCU